rfam:Actibacterium mucosum KCTC 23349 contig13, whole genome shotgun sequence.
GGUUCGGGAGCGGCCGGUGGGACGGCACGCAGGAAUGGAACCUCACCCCUUCAUUCGUGAGCGGCGCGCAGCCGGGGCCCGACGGCCUGCGCA